rnacentral:pre_miRNA from 1 species
ACAACGUGCGGACCGUCGGUCUACCGAGCAAUAUCACCCACUCGGUGGAAGAUCUUCCCUUUGUCGU